rnacentral:rRNA from 1 species
CGUAGGGUGCGAGCGUUAAUCGGAAUUACUGGGCGUAAAGCGUGCGCAGGCGGUUUAGUAAGACAGGCGUGAAAUCCCCGGGCUCAACCUGGGAACUGCGCUUGUGACUGCUAAGCUAGAGUACGGCAGAGGGGGGUGGAAUUCCACGUGUAGCAGUGAAAUGCGUAGAGAUGUGGAGGAACACCAAUGGCGAAGGCAGCCCCCUGGGUCGAUACUGACGCUCAUGCACGAAAGCGUGGGUAGCAAGCAGGAUUAGAUACCCUGGUAGUCCACGCCCUAAACGAUGUCAACUAGGUGUUGGGAGGGUAAAACCAUUUAGUACCGGAGCUAACGCGUGAAGUUGACCGCCUGGGGAGUACGGCCGCAAGGUUA